CGGCGGAAAACGGAAUCGCAGUUAUAAAAAUGUACUUUUUUUCACUCGGACUUCUAUGUUAUUUGAUAGUCAAACGGUUGACCCUUUAAAUACAAAAAUACAUCUACAAGAACAUAUUCUGAAACUUCUUAAAUCCACUAACGUUUUUUUAAAGUUUCAAGCUAUGUAUUGCAUUAGAAAACAUACAUAGGUGUUAAAGAAUGACAGACCAGGAGCCUGUUUAACAAAAUACUAUGGCUUGAUAUGGGCGGAGUCUCUGAUCUGGGUCACAAAGAUGGCCAUACGCGAUAGCAUAAAAGCAAUUGCUUUAAAAAUCCAUAUAAUGCUUUGUUGCGGAAUGAUGGAAUGACAGAAUUACGGAAUUUCGGACAAGGGUAAAACUAUAUAGCACCGACAACUUCGUUGCGGGGCCAUUAAAAACGUUUAUGUAUUUCUGUUUUCAACAAGGCAGAAUUACUAGUACUAUUAAUAGACUCACCAUUUUCGCAUAUACUGUUGAUAUUUAUAGGUUACCUUAAAACUUCUGGUGGGGUCACAAUAGAU
rnacentral:lncRNA from 1 species